AACUAUAACGGUCCUAAGGUAGCGAAAUUCCUUGUCAGGUAAGUUCUGACCCGCAUGAAAGGCGUAAUGAUUUGGGCACUGUCUCAACAGCCCGCCCGGCGAAAUUGUAGUACCGGUGAAGAUGCCGGUUACCCGCGACAAGACGGAAAGACCCCAUGGAGCUUUACUGUAGCCUAAUAUUGGGUUUCGAUGUUGCAUGCACAGGAUAGAUGGGACACUGGGAAGCAGGUGCUUUGGCGCUUGUGGAGUGGCCGUUGGGAUACCAUCCUUGCGAUAUUGGAAUUCUAACCUGCGCCUUUGAAUCAAGGCGGGGGACAUUGUUAGGUGGGCAGUUUGACUGGGGCGGUCGCCUCCUAAAGAGUAACGGAGGCGUUCAAAGGUUCGCUCAGCUUGAACGGAAAUCAAGCAAAAGAGUGCAAACGCAGAAGCGAGCCUAACUGCGAGACUGACGGGUCGAGCAGUAACGAAAGUUGGAGUUAGUGAUCCGGUGGUAUGUGAGUGGAAAUGCCAUCGCUCAACGGAUAAAAGUUACCCUGGGGAUAACAGGCUGAUCUCCCCCAAGAGUCCACAUCGACGGGGAGGUUUGGCACCUCGAUGUCGGCUCAUCGCAUCCUGGGGCUGUAGCAGGUCCCAAGGGUUGGGCUGUUCGCCCAUUAAAGCGGUACGCGAGCUGGGUUCAGAACGUCGUGAGACAGUUCGGUCCCUAUCUGUCGUGGGCGCAGGAUAUUUGAUGGGAGCUGUUCCUAGUACGAGAGGACCGGAGCGGACGUACCUCUGGCGCACCAGUUGUUCUGCCAAGAGCAUAGCUGGGCAACUAUGUACGGAUCGGAUAAACGCUGAAAGCAUCUAAGCGUGAAGCCGACCCAAAGAUAAGAUAUCCCAUUGUUUCAAACAAGUAAGACCCCUUGAAGACUACAAGGUUGAUAGGCACGAUGUGUAAGUGGAGCGAUCCAUUCAGCAAGCGUGUACUAAUAGGUCGAGGGCUUGACCAC
rnacentral:rRNA from 1 species